UCCUUCCCUCCCUCCCGCACCCACCCACCCCGGGCUCAGGGCACCGGGGCAGCCACUGUGUUUCGCACCUGGCAGCCGCCGCCCCGAAGUGAACGAGUACAACUAGGAUCCAUUUAAGGCAAAUUUAAUGGAACCUUUUCUUUGGCCUGCAGCAGCUUUCCAGCUCAGGAUGUUGAGAAGCAGAACCUGCAGCACAGCUACAGUGACCCUGGGAACCAGCAUGGACCCCUGCAGCAGACACAUGCAUGCAAUCACACCCCGCUUUAGAUUGUCACGGCUUUCCUCAUGCACACCAGGCCUCUGCCAGCUCCUGGGAGGAAAGUUGGGAAGGUAUUAAGUAGCUAAGUACCUCGCUGGCAAAUUAAUAGUUUUUUCUUUCUAUUAAUUCAACUUUGCUUUUAUUGUGGACUGUGGAGAAUAUGCAGGCUGAUACAGCUGUUACAGCACAACCUCCUAGGGUGGAAAAACAUCUUUUUGUCACCAGGCCCUAUUCUGGCUAUACAAACUAAAUAAAGAAAAAAGUAUUUGCUGGAAGAACUGCACCUCCACUAGGAUUUUUGCCAAUACAGAAAUGUGUUUCAUUCUGUCUUCCCUCCCCAUCCCUCAAUUUCCCACCUGCCAUUUACAUUUCUGGCUGACAGAACUACAGGACAAAGAUCUGUAGUCUUGGCCUAAUGCAAGAGGAUGACCACUGGGUUUUGUUUUUCAAACCCUUACAGAGCACUUCUGAGCACACUGGGAGCAGCCAAGGCUGCCAUAGGCUAUGGGGAGAACUGAGAGAGGUUUUGUGAACCUCUCUAUGGGCCUGGAGGUUAGGCACUGAGCCUGAACCCACUCCAACCCCUCCAGUGAAAAGGGUGUCUUCUGCCUGGAAAACCACAGGAUGAUAGAUGUGGGUCCAACAAGGAUAAGAAAUGCAAAAAACCCUGGAGUGCAAGAGGAAGUGUAUCCUGUCUGCAUGGAGACAUAACCUCAACAGGAACAAGUGCAGGAAGAGUUCGGGAGCACUUUACUGCUAUUAUUGGAUUUGAACAGUCCCAUCUGGAUAACAUACGACUGAUUUGUUUGCAUGGCUUAUUUUAGGUAUUUCAGCAUGUACAUUAGAGUUGCCUUCGUAUUUGGCUGAUUCCCUGCACAGUCUGUAAGAGCAAGAAAAGAUCUUCAGCUCCUGCUCUCCACCACUCCAUUCUCCCAUCCCAAUGCCUUGGAGAGCUCUUCACAGAAGUCCAAGGAUAAACAGAACCAUCAGUCCUUCCCAACUCAGUACUGCAGAGUGUACAACAGCAGUACCAAAGUACUAACAACAUGGGGGUUGGAUACUAUCUAGAACAUUUGGAUUUGCACCUGUAUUAAUUUAGGCUUGAGACUCCACGUAUCCCGUAACAACUCUAGAUGCACUUGAAAGUCUAGCAGCAAGGACUUGGCACAUACCUGGUGCUAAUGUACAUGCUCUGUGGUUAGAAUAGCUGCUACUUGAAGCUUUUAACCAAAGGGAUCUGCGGCAGGAAUGUGCUCCCAGCACGCACAGAACCAGGGAAAGCGUGACGGAUGCUCACACCUCUCCAGACUUGGCAUUCCUUGCAACACCGUCUCAGUUACAGUGACGCUGGCAAGCUCUUACCGCAGCUCCCAUUCACCGUGGCGUCUGAAUGAGCAGCCAGCUCCAUCAACAGCAAGAACUUUGUUGUCCCCUUGCAGGAGCUCUUGAAUGCAAAGCUGGGCAUUUGCUACUUCACUCUGCCAGGGCCAGGAGAAAUAAGACAUCACUGAAAAUAAUUCAGCCCAUGCUUAAAAGAUAUUAUAUAAAAAAUGAGAUUUUUUUUUUAAAUGAGUAAAAGCACAAUGCAAAAACUCUGGUUUACAUGACUUGAACAGUUUUCACUUAGGAAUUCACAGCAAUUUGUCACUAGCUUGCAGUGCAGGGAGGGAAUGUUCCUUUCACGCUGAAUCACCAUAAAACAAGCACAAGUUGCCUGAUU